UUCCAGCUGGCCCCAGCUCCUGUCCCUGCUGCUGUUACCUGGCCCACAGUCUUUUUCUCCCUCUUUUCCAUUCUCCUUCCUUGGGCCCUGCUGCCACAGAGCCCCAGUCUCCCCACUCUUUCUGCUGUUGAGCCCCACAGAAGCAGGUUCUUUCUCCCUUCCCCCUCCAGGGAACAGGAUCCAGAGGGAGAAUCCCCUGAGGAGGAAAGGAAGAACCCCAUGGGGAAAGAUAUGGGGUGAGGGAUGAGCAGUCCCUUCAAAGCCCAACUACAUCUUCUGCAGUGAAGUCAUAAUCCUUAGUUCAUGACCAGACAAAUCAGCUGCCAAGAAAUCUGUGACAUCAUGAGUUCAGCUUCACUGCAGGAUCAAAUAGUUGCAGACAAGUGACUAUGAGGUAGAAAGUUUAAGUGAAAAUGGCUCUGGUAAUUAAGUAAAAAGUCCUUCUUAAAAUCCUGGAGCUAUGAACCUGACAUAGGUUGUAUUAAAAAAGGAGUUAAAGACGAAGGAGGGGAAAAAGUGAAACAGGAGAAUGCUGGAAAGCAAGGAGAUGAAAGACAUACAGGAAGGCAGUGGAUUAAUGGACAAGCAUUUAUGUUGUGAUCAGUUAAUGCACAGAGAUUAGCAUGCAAGGUAUUUUCUGCAAGAAACAUCCUGUCAGCCACACAGUGAUAUGCAAAAGAUGGAGCAGCCAAAUGUCAAACAAAUUGUAACUCAGUCUUCCCUUUACCUUCUCUCAUCCUGGGCCCGGAGGUUAGGCUGGGGGAAAGAUCAGAGGGAGAAAAACAACACCAAGGAAUCGGUAGGAUGCCUCAAGUUCCGCCAAGCAGAACCGUCCCUUCAAGGCGAUAAAUCAAGAGCAUAUAUCUUGGGCUUCCCCUCUAGAGAAGGAGGGGAAAACUUUUUGGAUAUGGUUUCAGAGCAGAGGUUAUCUUCCCCACACCAAAAAACAACAGAGCUGUUUCUGGCCUGAAUCAAGCAACUGCAGUAGAAAACAGCUAGAACUUCCCCAUGUACUAUCCAUAAAGGCACAGGGUCAAACAGAAUUAUGUGCUAGAGUUGGGAUAAAAAACGAAACGGUUUUCCCAUCCAGGGAAUAUUUUCAAGAUACAAAAAAACUUCCCCAAAGUCAAAAUCUUGAAAGCUUUUGAGAACUAAACAUCUGAAAAAAGUUUCAUCUUGAUCAUUUCAAACAGCGUAGUUUUAAUUUUGACCUUUUUUAAAAUCUAAAUUUACUAAAAUUUCAAAAUGAAAAAUCAUUUAAAUUCUAAAACUUUAAACUUCUUGCUUGAAAAUGUUGAAAUGGGAUGUUAACAAUUUUGAACAUUUUUCUUUUUCCCAAAAAUUGUUCAAGUCGGGAGAUUUGUUGAAACCGAUGCUGUUUCACAAACAGUGUUGACAAAUCGGCAUUUUGGGUGAAAAACUGUUUGUUGAAAAAUUCCAAACAAGUUUAAUUCUCUCCCAGUUGAAAUACAGGAUUCAGAUGGAGUGGGAACAUUGGGGGGUUACAGCAUUAGGAGAUGGUUAGGAUGAAGGGGAGCUAACAACCAAAGGCAAUGCAACAAAUGAAAAUAUGUCCAAUCUC